UUCCACUUUUCUCCAAGGAAAUAUUUUUUCCUGAACCAGGUGAGGGAGGGACCACUUGAAUUUGUUUUCUGGAGGGUCCCCAUUUGGAGGUUUUCUCCCGAAGUUGCCCUAAAGAAGGACAGCGAGAAAUAUCAGAUCCUUAUUUAAUGGGGAUUUCUGAAUUUGUGAAAUACAUACUGGAAAUGCUUCUGUGGUCAGUGAGGGUUCUUCCAACUCUAUUUUGUGUCAUAGAGGAGGAAGAGGAAGGAAGUUUUUUACCAGACAUGUAGGAUUAUUUCUCAGCAAAAGGGAUUCCCCACUCUGACAUUGCCAGCAGAGAUUCUCCGCAGAGGAUGUCAGCUUGGGGCUCCAGCACAUGUGUGCUCCUGCUCCCUGCUGAUGGCAGAGGAAGACACUCUGCCCCAUUUAUUACACCCUGUAGUACCUGCUGCUCUUGUUCUAUUAAUUUUCACUGCUGCAGCACUUUCAGGCUCCAGGCAUGGACAGGAACCUAAGUGUGCCACAUUUGCUCUGAAAGCAGAGUAAAAAUUCUCUGAGGUAGUUGUGACUAGGGAUGAUAUCUCUUGCUAGCAGACAGAAGGGAGCUGGAGAUUUUGAAACAGAAGUAUGAGGAGGGAUAGCUGACACCUGCACACUAUCUUCCAUUUCCUGCUUUAACACCUGGGAUCAAAGUGCCCCCAAACGCUUUUAGGAUGCCUUGAGUGUGAAGUGUUUCUGAUAGCUUGGAUUCAAGGAUGCUUGGCCAUGCUCUGAGGAGGGGCUGGUCUGGAGCCAGUUCUGUGCAAUAAAUGAAAAAGUUGGGUAAAUAAAUAACUGAGAAUUUGUGACAGAGGCUUACAAACCCAAGAUUGGCCUAGAGAGAGUGGAUGAGGACUGACUAUUCACCAUGUACUGACUUUUGUCAGAGCUAGCUGAGAAGAUAAAGAAUAGGAAGCAUGUACUUGAGAUCCUCAAAUAAAAAGAGGUCAAAUCAUUGGUUCUCAGGCAUAAAGCUUCUGUAAUCUGCUCAGAUGGGCUUUGAGCAAGUAGAAUGGGGCUGUUUGUCCUGUUCAUCAGACUUUGUGACUAGAUCAUUCUGGACCUGCUCUGGAUUUACAGAACGGCACCAGUGUUUGGCAGCCACCCUGUGAAGGGUGUUCGUUCCUGCCAGUGACAGCUGGAGGCUGAGAGGAUGUGUCAGGAGUUCUUAUUCUUCUCUGCUUUCUCUGCUCUGUCCUCAAGUAACCAAGGCUACAGUAAACAAUGGGGUACUGGGAGGGACAGACCUCCACUCUGAACCCUACAGAACUCUCCUAUCAAUUUUGUAAGAAUUAAAAGAAAGAAUUUUUUGUAAGAAUUAAAAAAAGGAAAUUUUUGCAAAUGAGGGGUGUGGCAGCCCAGGUUGGACCUUCCAUAGGCCAUAUUUAUUCAGUAGAGUGAGGGGAAUUCACCAACAGGAUGCUAGUGCUGCCCUUAUUUAGAGGACAAAUCGUUACCUGUGUUUUCUGAGGGUGUGCUACUGUACUUUUGGGCAAUGCUAUGGGAAUUGAGAAAAUAUAUCAAUAUUCCACACAUAGACUCAAUCCAAUUCUUAUUAAUGAGAUUGAUAACUGGGGGAAAGAAAAAAGGAAAAUAAAAUUCUCUCUGUUUCAGGAAGUACAGAUGAUUUUGGUUGAAUAAAUUUUCAUUCAGAUAGUCCAUUUUAAAUGAGUAUUGCUCGGCUUACGGUCCCUUCUUCCUCCUCUUCCUUUCAUUAGCUCCUCUUCUUUACCUGCCAGACCCUUGCAGUCCUUUCUCCUGUUUUCCAUCCCCUCUACAGAUAUUGCCCUGCCUGAGCACUGACCACACACAGCCUUCAUGGGUGGAGAACAUCAGUGAAUUGCUGCAAAACACCAGGUGAGCAUUGGCCCAGCAAAUUAUUUCAAAAUUCCCCCUCUGGAAGAGUAUCUCUGGAAAAGCUGCCAGACUGGAAGAGAAACGCUUCAUCUAACUGAGUGUAAUCAACAUUAAGACUCUGGUGGAGAUCCCUGUCCUGCAUCAUGGAGAACCAAGGAUGACAUAGCUGUAAGCAUGGAUUGGCUUAUGGAUGGAGCUCUCAGUGGUGCUGUGGAAAUGGCUCAGCUGAUGUUCUGAGCUGAACUGAUUGAGCUGAGCUGAUCUGUGUUUUUGCAUGUUACAUCAGGAUCUGAGGGCCUAGCCUACACUGAGGGGUGAGAUCAUGGGAGCAGAAAAUAUGGAUGGAACUAAAUAAGAGGAGGAAAUGUUCUGAUUUUCAGCACAUCUAAAUAAUAUCUUCUGUAUGCUGGAGGAAAUUCAGGGCACCUAGGCAGACUCUUAGCCAUUUGGCUUCUUUGACCCUUCAAGUUCUUUGCUGACUUUUUAAACAAGGUUAAAACUGAGGACAAAGAUAUAGUACUGGAACAGCUGCUGGGAUUGGAAUAAAUUUUUAUUCUUGUACUGGCUUGGGGAAGAAUUCUUUUUCAGCUUCAUCCUUCUGAGUUUAGUAAGGAGUGAGACAUGCAGUAGCUAACUGGAACAAGAUUCAUCUAUUCCUUCUGGGUCUGUCAGCUCACACUUGGAGUAACUACUGUGACCUGGAGCACUGGGUUAAGGGCAAUUCCACAAGGUAUGAUUUUAAGCAAGCAGGAUUCAAACUCGUACACAAGUCACAAGUCACUGCAUUUUGACUGAGUGUCCGCAAUAGAUGUUGCCAUCUCCUGAAGUUCAUUGUGGUUUUAAAUGUUCUGGUAGCAAUGGCUUUUCCCUGCAUCUUGAGGCAAUGAAUUUUUCUCAUGUAUUUACUGGGGGUUAAGACUGACCUAGAGGUAGACACCGUAGGUCUAUUAACCUGGGGUAAGUUGCUAAAACACAGUAAUUAUUCAUGCACCUAAACCUUGAGAUGUUUAUUUUCUCUUGGCUCUGAGAAGGAGCCCUUACUGUAACUGCAGAUUCCACUUACACCCAACAUCAGCUCUGGUCCAAGUAGAGGCAGUGGUAAAAUAUGAACAAGAUUUGUGCUCAGUGGUACCCAGAUAGACAUGUCCUCAGAGAGCACCACACUGUUUGCCAACAGGUACACAAUGGCUGCAAAUCUCUUUUUAGAGGUGUAACUCUUACCCUCAAAGGACAGCCCAAAGGACGGGUUUAAGUGUUUCGGGGCUUUAUUUUAUCUUCCUGCUGCUCGGAUUAGUAUGCAAAACUCCAGAUUAGCCCUAAAUAUCUAAAAAUUAUUAUCUAAGAAUGGUGGCAGAACCCAGAUUUGUUCUCAGUGUGACUGUGGGGGCAUGAAAAAGUGAGAGCAAGCAGAAGGGCUGACCUAAUUUCCAACUCUGCUGUCAAAAUAGCUUCCACCUACUGGAAUUGCCCAAGAAGAGUGUAGAGAUGCUUGAAAUACAGCUUUGGAGGCUUUUUGUCCUCCCCAAAGGGGAUUGAUUCUGUCCUUGGGCAUGGCUAGGCUGUACCCUUUCCUGAUUCCGAGGUAAAAAUAUAGAUGCUCUCUCCCAUGGGCUUGCAUUAAUUUUUGGCAACACCAGGCCCUGCCCACAGCACAGCACAUUUUUCUGCUUGAUGUGAGGAACAUGGUGCUUACCAGGGCUGCUUUGCCAUGGUGGGUGUUGACAGAUAAAUGGUGGUGAAUCUGAUGCCUGGCUAGUUUGUCUGCCCGUCUCUUGGAAAUUCUCACCCUUUCCCUGACAGGGAAAAUGCACCAGCAGCUACAGCAAGGACUUUGGCAGCUUACCUCACCCUCUCACCAGCAGGGAGCACAAGUUCUCCCCCUUAGAGAACCUGAGGAAUUUUUUUUUAACUGUUGGUUUUGUGUGAAAAGGCUAUUCUUGAUGGGAAAUCCUGUAAAAACUGCUUUCUUGUCACACAAGAUAAUAAUGUGGCAACAGGAUUCUUGUACUGGUGCAAACGCUUGUGCUGGGAUGUGAGUUCCUGUCAUGUGGUUCUUGACCCUUCUUGGCAACAUGGAACUGGUGCUCACAGGACACAGGUCCCUGUGCCAGACACAAUGACACCAGUGAUGGCUUACAACCAGAGAUGCCUGAGAUGCUUCCAGGAGGACUCAUCUGGUAGGAAUAAGAGGAGCAGACCUGCACGGGCAGUAGAACAACAUUCACAUUCUGACAGAGGAUAUGGCCAUUAGUGAGAGCAUUUCAGUCUUCCUAUACCUAUACUUGGCUGGAGAAGCUGGAAGGGAUGAAGGCCAUGCACAGGCCAAAUUGGGUUGGAAAUGCCUAAUAUGGAGAUGAUUGUGGGAAGGCAGUCUCUCUGCUGGGUGAGGCUUGGGGGGGAUAAAAGCAGCCUAGGAGAAGCCUAGGCUGAGUACCUGAGGGAAGGUAUUAGCCUGCUGAUAGCCCCUGAUCUGGAGAUGUCUUUGUGGACAGGGUGCCAGUUGCAAGAACUGUGUUUGCUGCAUGCCAGAGGGAAAGUCUAGGGAAAGAUGAAAGUUGCUGGAAUGCAGAAAUACCAAACACACAAGGGCUGCGCCAUGUUUUGGUGCUGGGAGAGCUGGUGGGGAGGGUGAGCUGACUCCACCUGAGGAUGUUAGGGGUUUGUUCUGCAUUAUCGGACUGGAAUUGCUAUCUAUUAAACACCUGAGAGAGGGUUCCUCGUGGGGCUGCAAAGGAAAAUGCAGAUGGAGGCCAUAUGGUGUGACCCAGGUGUGGGAAUUGCACUGCACAGCUCUGCAAACAGAUGCCUCACAGGAGAGCUGCCGGGGAGUGAGAGUCUGCAAGCUCUUACUUUGAGACAAGGAGCAGUUUCCCAAAUGUGUCUAAGGUGUAGAGAUUCCUCCCCUUACUGGCUCAUCUGAGACCAGAAUGCUUAAAAUAAAUCAGAAAUCAAGCUUACUCAUAAAUCAAGUUUUAAAAAAAUCCAUAUUUAGACACCCAAAUAAGCUUUUAAGGAUGCCUCUUGGUUGGCAACCAGUUUUUCUGCAAACCAAACCACUUGUUUAAGUGGUUAGAGUGACUUUAACAACAAACCUUCAAGAACCACAUCUGAGAACCUUUGCCAGAAAGAAUUGGCUAUGAAUCCUGCCUCAUACACACAAAUGGCCUUUUGAAAGCAGAAGGCAGCUUUACUUCCCCAUUACUCUGUGAAGCCAACAUACUGUUUGACAUGCUGGAAGCCAGCUGGAUAAAUGAGAAAUAUUGCUAUGCAUUCUUAGAGAGUCUGUGCCUGAAUUAGCUAAACCAGAACAGCUCUCUUGCCUGUGCUGGCUAUGGAUAAGCAAAGAUUACUCUGCCUGUAGGGUUUCCCUGAGUAGCUGCACCAAGGCACCCACACAGAAAAGGGGAGACAGCGCUUUCAGAAAGGAUGAUUUCAAAUUAAAAACUGAAAAAUACAAAAGCAGCUGUUCUAUAGCAAUAACAUGAGGAAGGAAGAAGCUGUUUGAAUGUAUUUAGAGACAGAAAAAAACGGAUAAGCAGAGCAGUCUGCUCCAUUGCUGUAAAGUAAUUUUCUGUUUUCACGGAACUGAUGAUGUCAGGAGAUUGUUUCAAACAAAUAAGUAACAUAAUUGAAAGAUAAUGAAUAGAGAGCAUGUCGAUUUGUCCAGAAAAUAUAGGGAGUUAUUCUGCAGUAAUUCUACACACCCCCCUGCUUUUAGCAGAAUAAGCUUAAAAUUCAAGCCCCACAGAACAUUUGCUCCUGAGGAAUGAGUCCUCCUGGCUAAUCCCCAAGUGAUUUAAAUGCACAUAAAUAAAUACACUUAAGAUAAAUGACUGGACAAGAUCAUGUAAUUUGCCUCUGCAGUGAGAAUUACCCCUUUAGCUACAGCAGUGCUCAGCACAGCCCAUAUGCACCCACGUACCUGCUCCAAAGCAAAAUCCCAAAGGCGCUGGUCCCCUCCUUGCUCUGCUGCUUAUCCCAAGUGAAGCCACGUCUGGGAAGGUCCCGGUCAUACUGGGAACCACAGGGUAGCGCCAGCUCUCCAGCUGCCUCUGCCUGCCUGUUUGCAAAGCUUCCUGAGGGGAGGGACGGGGUAUUCCAUCCUUCUUCUUCAGCUGAGGAAAAAAUGACGUUUCGCAGGGGUGGCCGCUGCCCAACUCCUUUCUGUGUCAUGUGGGAUGCGGAUGCUGCGGCCGCCCCCCGGCAGGUCCCGGGGCUCCUCCCGCUCCGUCGGGGCAGCAGCACCACGGACAGCGCCGGGCGCGGCAGGGCGGCGGCACCGGGGGACACCGAGGGGACACCGAAGGGACGCCGGGGGACACCAGGGGGGCAGCGGGAGGCCCCCGAGGCGGGGCCGCCCCCGACCCGCGGCGGGGCCCGGCUGCCGGCGCUGACGUGCCGGUUGCCAUGGCGAGCGCGGCUGCUGAAGAGGAUGCUUUUCUCCCACGAUGGUCGCCAUGGGACCCCGCCGAUUGAAAGGAGCAAAUGAAUAAGAGGAAGGAGGUGGAGAGAAUAUUUAACUAGCUUCCUCCGGGAAUUUGUGCCUUUUUUUUUUUUUUUUUUUUUAAUUCCCAUGUGGAUACUGAAACUCAGACAGCCUGGUCCGUUUCCCUGCUUAGCCCCCAAUUCAAAAUUCGAGGAAAAAACCUUUUUUAUUUUGUGGGAAAUGGCACCAACACAAUUUCCUAAUGUGCUCUGUCACAUACACUUUAUUAAGCAAGUUGGAAUAAUAACAACCCAUCAAUCGUCUCUCACAAACAUUUUUCCUGCAGAAUUACAACAGCUCUAUAAAUUGUAUUACACUGCAAGUUUAAGGAAAGAAGAGAUCAUUUCAGUACUGGCAAACUUUCUGCCUGUGAACUAAGGAAGAAAUUUUUUUGAAGUAUGGAUUUCUAUUGUUUUGGGAUUUCUGACUUGAAAUGCAUUAGUAAACUGAACAAACAAAGGCUGGAUAUUUUCCUGUUUUCCCUCAUUUUUCAUUGGAGAACUCCACCCUCUAUCUGGGACAACACUUGCUCUGCUUCUGAUACAGAAACCUCAAAAAUCUGCUUUGAAACUGAGGGAGUCAUUUAAUCCCUGUGCUGGUAAUGGCAUCUCAACAGGUGACCAGAGGGGUGUUUGAGCAGCUGCUGGCAGUUCCACAGCCUGGACAGGGAGGCUGACUGAGCCUCAUCCUUCAGUGGAACUGCAUCAGUAAUCUUUAACAAGAAUUUGGAGAUGUGAAAGUGUUCACAGCACAGUAUAUGCAUACACAUGUACACGUUUAUCUGAGGAGAAUUUCCCCCAGUGCUGGCCUUGUCCUAUUCUACACCUCCAGCUCUUUCUCCCCUGAUGAAGUGGCAGGGUGAGAGGUCUUCCUGUGGCUGCUGCCUGCUUGGAGGGUGAGAUGAAGGUUUUGGAACCCCUCGGCAUGCUGGAUUCUGCAGACAUCAGUUGUGUGGCAGACUCAGCAGAGGGAGCCCGGCGUUCAGUUCUGGAGCUGAGGAGGGAGCAGACCUGAUGCAUCUCGGAAGGGAAGAUCGCCUUCCUUUCCCUAGCUCUCCAGCGGCCCGGAGCUCGCUGCCGGAGUGGGAAUGCUUCGGCAGGACCGCACGUUUCCCUGUUGAAGGAGAAACCUGUCCUCUAUGGGGUCCCAAACUGAGUUUUGGCACAGUCACCCUGCAAUUUGAGCUAAACUGGUUUGCCUGUUCCAAUAGGUGAAGAGCACAGCACUGCUGGAAACCCCUGAGGUGAAGGAGACCAAACUACUCUCUGGGUCCUGGAAAACAUGAAGAUGUUACCAACAAUUCCAGGAGGGAACAUUUCAAGGUGUUCCUGGUCAUCCACAGGGAAAAUAUCUGCAUGCCACUGAAAUGAAGCAACUCAAAACCAAACUCUGUGAAGAUAAUCCCAUCUUUUGAUUUUAUUUGGUAGAAAUGAAUGGGGAAAAAAAGAAAAAAGCUUCAACUCUGGGUUUUCAUGAUAACAGAGUGGGAACUUUCACCACCAUCCCAGUUUUGGACUGCAUUUGAUGCAGGCUUAUGGAGACAGGGGACAGUUAUUAGAGCUGCGUGAAUAAUCUACAGCAAGUAACUGAAUGGAAGUGUUUGGCCUUUUAUCUGUUUGCAAACUGUGAGCUUUCCUGGAUGUUCUUGAAUGUGUUUGUUGUUUGAGAUAAUACUGCCCAUAAUUUCUGUGAAUAAUUAUUUAUUUGUGGACUGCCUACAAGUAUUUAGAUAGUCAAAAUGUCAUUUUUGUUCCAUGGUUACAUGAGUGCAACCCUGAGACUUCCACCAAGAGUACUCACAGUCAGGAGUGGUAAAUUCACUUUCUGUAAAACCUUGUUGAAAUCUUCUCAGAAACUGUCUGUCUUGUCUGCUGCAGGGAAAAAAAAAAAGGAGGAAAAUGCAGUAAAAUAACAGGGGAGGUUGGUAGGGUGUUAAAAAACAUUUCCAGGAGACUCCCCUGUGUCUCUGCAGCCAUGGAGGUCUUUGGGGAUGCAGAGAUCCACUGCAGCCCAUGGAAGAGCCCACACUGGAGCAGGGUGAUGCUCAAAGGAGGCUGUGACCCCCUGGGAAAUCUGUGCUAGGACCUGCACAAUGGAGACAGGAGUCCACACUGGAGCAGGUUUGCUGGCAGGACUUGUGACCCUGUGAGGGAGCCAGACUGGAGCAACCUGUUCCUGAGAGACUGACCCUGUGGAAGAGUGAUUCUCAUGGCAGCAGUUUGUGCAGGGCUGUUGCCUGUGAGAUGGACCCACUGGAGGAGCUCAUGGAUUACUCUUUCCUGUGGCAGGGACCCCAUGGUGAAGCAGAGGAAGGACUCCUCUCCCUGAGCAGCAGCAGAAACACCCUGUGAUGGAUUGACUGGAACCCUAUUCCCUGUCUUCCUGCAGCACUCGGGGAGGAGGUAGAGCUGGGCAGGAGGAAGUGGUAGGGAGAAGGUAUUUUUAAGGUUUUAUUUUACUUCUCUACUGUCCUGCUCUGACCUUGUCAGGAGUAAAGUCAGUUAAUAUCUCCAAGUCUAUUUUGCCCAUGAUGUUAUUUGGUGAGUGACCUCUCCCUGCCCUUACCUCAACCCAGGAACCCUCAGUUAUAUUUCCUCUCCCCUGUUUGCCAUGUGUUCACGGGGCCAAGGCAGACACAGCAAAUAUUCCACCCACGUGCUCUGUAAGCCACCAGAGCUGGACAGCAAAGGGGUUUUAUAACCAUCUUGUCCUCCAAAAGAAUGGUGCAAACCCCAUGUCUGGAGUACUCUGAGCCCUGCCAUGUUGUGACUGCUUGUCCAGGAGCAUCCCAGACAGGUUUCUGACAGUCACCAAACUCUGAUAGCAGCUUGGAGAGGAGUUUCUUUGGCAGCAGUGCAGGCAGGACCAAUAAAACUUUGCAGGAACACCUCUUGUGUUUGUCUACAUGCACAGUUCAUCCGUUACCCUACCUGCUUGGAUGGUUUUGUGAUAAGGACACCUUGAGGGAUAAAUGGAACAGGGGUAUUAAGGAAAAAGUACUCAAUAAUAUAGAGCAACGUGCACCACAAAUGAAGAUGUAUUUUCAGGGGAAAAACAACAUUUUGAAAACUAAACAAGGCAUGAAUUCA